UGCAGGUAUGACGUCGGGUGGCGUCGCGAGUCUCAUAAGCUCACUUUGGUCGGUUCGAGUCCGACACCUGCUACCA
rnacentral:tRNA from 1 species